rnacentral:rRNA from 1 species
GAUGAACGCUGGCGGCGUGCCUAAUACAUGCAAGUCGAGCGGAAGGACCAGAAGCUUGCUCCUUUGAGGUUAGCGGCGGGCGGGUGAGUAACACGUGGAUCAGCUCCUUAUAUUACUGGGACAACUCCGUCACACCGGAUCUAAUACUGUACAAUAUCUUGUACCGUAUUGUUCAAAAGAGCAUGUCGGUCUUGGUGUCAGACUUAGAUGGAUCCGCGCUGCAUUAUUGAGUUGAUACGGUAACGGCUUACCAAGGCUACGAUGCAUACCUGAGCUGAGAGGGUGGUCGCCCACACAGGAACUGAGACACGAUCGAGACUACGGGGGGAGGCGGCAGUUGGGAAUAUUCGGAAACGGACGAAAACCUUGAGGAGCUAAGGCACGUGUGAGAUGAAGGUCUUCCGUUCGUAAAACCCUGUUAUUGGGAAAGAACAGCUGUGUGUGUAUCAGUGGCCAUGCUGACGGUACCUAGUGAAUAAGCCCCGGCUAACUACGUG